GUAGGGGACAAGCGUUAUCCGGAUUUACUGGGCGUAAAGCGCAUGUAGGUGGCUUGAAAAGUUGGACGUGAAAGCUCCUGGCUUAACUGGGAGAGGUCGUACAAAACUAGCAAGCUUGAGGUUGGAAGAGGAGAGCAGAAUUCCCGGUGUAGUGGUGGAAUGCGUAGAUAUCGGGAGGAAUACCAGUGGCGAAAGCGGCUCUCUGGUUCAAUACUGACACUGAGAUGCGAAAGCGUGGGGAGCGAACGGGAUUAGAUACCCCGGUAGUCCACGCUGUAAACGAUGGAUACUAGGUGUAGGAGGUCAUUAACCCCUUCUGUGCCGAAGCCAACGCGUUAAGUAUCCCGCCUGGGGACUACGGCCGCAAGGUUAAA
rnacentral:rRNA from 1 species